rnacentral:rRNA from 1 species
UCGUAACAAGGUUUCCGUAGGUGAACCUGCGGAAGGAUCAUUACCGAACUGUCGACACGAGCUGUUGCUGGCCCCCGAAAGGGGACACGUGCACGCUCUGUUUACACAUCCACUCACACCUGUGCACCCUCUGUAGUUCUAUGGCCUUGGGGACCCUGUCCCCUUGCUGUGGUCCUACGUCUUUACACACACACAUCGUAACAAAGUCUCAUGGAAUGUAUGUCGCGUUUAACGCAAUACAAUACAACUUUCAGCAACGGAUCUCUUGGCUCUCGCAUCGAUGAAGAACGCAGCGAAAUGCGAUAAGUAAUGUGAAUUGCAGAAUUCAGUGAAUCAUCGAAUCUUUGAACGCACCUUGCGCCCUUUGGCUAUUCUGAAGGGCAUGCCUGUUUGAGUAUCAUGAACACCUCAACUCUCAUGGUCCGCCAUGAUGAGCUUGGACUUUGGGGGUCUUGCCGGCCUAGCGUCGGCUCCUCUCAAAUGGAUCAGCUUCCCCGUGUUUGGUGGCGUCACAGGUGUGAUAACUAUCUACGCUUGUGGUUUCCUGCCAUUAACCUUCAGCAAUGGAGGUUCGCUGGAGCUCACAGAUGUCUCUCCUUGGGGAGGACAGCUUUUGAAUGUCUGAUCUCAAAUCAGGUAGGACUACCCGCUGAACUUAAGC